AGGGCUUUAACACGUGGAUCCAGCUGGUGCAAUAGAGAGCCAUUCUCUGAGCCAUUCAUUGUUGGUAUUGUCUUGGCGGGAGGCUCGGUCUCUCUUGAAUGCCGUCUUAAAUGUCACCACAUAUGCGGGUCAUCUUGAUGACUUCCAUUCCAUGACGCAGGUGGCAGAGUGCAGGCAGAACCACAGAGCAGGAGACAUCGGCCUCCCCACCCAGAAUACCAGAUACCUUCAGUGGAAACACACACAGAGGAAGAUGGAGGAGGGCUCUAGAAGAGACUCCAGUCUCUGCAGUCGCUCCCAUUCCUGUGGCGUCACUAGUUUGUGGUUCUGCUGGUCCAUGGCUGCUGUCACUGCAUCCGUACUGCGGAUCAGACGUUUACCCAUGUCCAGCGUUGAGCUCCAGCGUGUCGGGACGUCUUGGAUCAGUGGCAGUCGUUGCCAGUAGUUUCCAGUAGUUUCCAGCAGAUGCCGCAACUAGUCAAAAGGUGCCAAAGUGCCCGGACAGCGGAAGAAAUCACUUUCAUGAUCACAGAAUGGAGGAGCUGCGGUUUAGAUAGAUAGAUAAAAUAGCUAUCUAGAUCCACAGAUGGAUUAGAUAAUUAGUGUAUUUUUGUAGACUUACUUACAAUAUGCAUUAAGAUAGUGCUGUACAUUACUGCUCUACAAUAUUUAAUAUUGUUUUGCUUCUAUAUAUUACACUUGUAUACCAAUGUAACCGCCUUUUUUAAUAAUGUCAGUUUAUUUGGAAAACAUGUUUUUGUAAGGUUCUGUGAUGCUUGAGUUAGGUUUAUAAAUGCAAUGAAUGUGAUGGUUAUUAAUUCAAUACAUUAAAUUACACAUCAAAGCACAUAUAUUUGCUGAAUCAAUAAAGCUACAGUUGUCAUGGUGUGAACAGAAUAUGAAAAGAACGAGACGCAGAGAAAGUCAGGGAACAGGAUUCACGGAUCAUAUUUGUAAAUAUGAAAUACAUUUAAUAAAACAAAACUCAAGAGGAUGAACUCUCAUGAAGCAUCUCAUCAGAGCUGAAUGACCCCUCCACCUUGGAGCCCUUCUCCAUGAAUUAUUCACAAAACAUGUUGUCAUCACUUUGGUGUUCAAAGUUGAAAUCAAAUAGUCGUUCAGCUUCUUCCUCUCCGCAUGUUUUUUCCUCUGGCCUUUAGCGGUUCUGCUCGGUCCAUUAGCGUCACCUCGGUCACUUUCUCCUUUAAAGGCCAGGUCCGCCACCACUUGGCUGCCAACAGAGCAUGCUCAAUUCUUCUUAAUUUUCCAGAAUUCUGCAUGAGAAGAAUAUGAACAUAACAAAAACACACACCAUUUAUUUCAAGUACAUUUCGUUUUUAAGUCACUUUGACUAUACAAUAUGAAACAAUAGCUAAAUGUAAUUAAGAAAGAAAAGUGAUACAUUUGAAUUCUAAAUCAGCACAGAAAUACUGUAGGAGCUUUUUAUUUUGUGUUAGUAUUUAGUUAUUCUAUUUGUAAGUAUACUUGUUUAAUUAUUCUAGAUGUUUGCCUAUUCAGAAUAUACAUAUAUUUGUUAAAUUAAGCCAUUUGUCGUUGUUGUCUAUGUAUACUUAGUCUUUGGUUUGUUCCCUUGUUUAUGAAUUGGGUAAUGCGACUGAUUUAUCGAACAAAUGGCCACGACAAAUACUAUUUCAAGAUGUCUCUAGUGAUCUGCACUUGAUGCUUGUGGACUGUGGCUGGAGUUCCUUGAGCAUGGAUGUUGUUUCAAAACCACAAAUGGAUGAGUUGGUGGUAGAAGCUGUCACAGAAUCACACGGGUAAGCUCAAGUGCAGAAGGAACGUCAGACUCUGUGUUUGAGAAACAAAUGUUUUACUUGAAAAAUGAGCAAUUUGACACGAGGGGCAAAACACACAACAAUCUGGCAGGGAACAAAGCAAAGACUGGGAGAAUAUAUAAGGUGGGGAAACACAGGUGUGGGACAUCAGGGAUCAGCGAGACGGGAGUGGCUGGGGCAGGUGACGGGAAUGACAAAUUACUGGGGAGACAGACACAACAUUUAACAGGGUGUUACAGAAGCAAGAUUUCACUGCAGUGUAAAUAAUAUGGUGGGACUCCAAUCCACCAGCAAAGUAUGUACAAUGUUCCUAGAGUUCUUAUCUAGAGGAGGGAGACUUUAUCCUUUUGUUUCACUGUGUAUUUGUUCAGACAUGAUAUAUCAGACUUUUAACAAUUACCUGUUGGUCUGUCGGCUCUUGAGGUGCAGGGCUGUCUCCCUUAUAUCCUCCACUUGAAAUGAACAGAGUAAAUUGUGACAUUACUUUCACGAUUGACUUUUCUUAAAAUGUCACACUUUACAGAGAGUGCUGGAUUAUUAUGGCAAGCUGAUUAUAGGCAUACAGUUAGCUGUCGAAACACAAUUCUUCAUUUAUUUAUUAUUGAUCUUGAUGAACAAAUACAUAUUAGAAAUUGCAUUUCCCUUCAUCACUAAACCUGUUAGUGUUCAUAAAAAUACAUGAAAUGUACAUUUAACACACACCACCUCCGUAGCGCCAAGUCAGGCAAGGAACAGGAGAAAAGCAGAGGACAAGUUAUUACUGCCACCUGCUCACCACAAAGCACCCCUACCAUCAGAUGGACUUUCCCAAAAGCAAAGGAAUUACUUAGAUCUCAUAAAGAAAAAGGUCUUUCCUGUGUGCAUCUUCCUGUUUCAAGAGGCUUUCUGCCUCGUGUCUCCAAAGACAAAGCGUUGGCCUCAGCCACUGAAUUGUUACCUUCAAAGCAACAUAAAUUCACAUUUUGUGACCACAUUUAAGUUCUGUGUGUACAAAGUUGUGAAAUCAAAUUAAUCCAAGAUGUAACAAUUUCACCAAAUCUUUACUAAUGCUCCAUUUGGGCACAACGACCAUCAGGGCCACCAGAACGCGUGUUCAAUACUCCUGACUUAUUCAACAGAGUAUGGUCAUGGCAUCUAUUUAUGUGCUGUAUGUUCAUUUAUUACACCGUUAUCGAGAGCAAAUAUAUGAAUAGAGUCAUGCAGUUUAUGGUUUAUGCUCGUGUUUUUUUAGAAAAAAAUAGCACAGUCACUGGAUAACAGUAAAGCACGGGUAUAUGUAAAAACAAACAAAGUGACAGUGUAUUUCACACCAAAUACCAUUUAUUAUUAUGAAUGUGAGGGUUUUUUCUC